rnacentral:rRNA from 1 species
UGGCGGCAGGCCUAACACAUGCAACUCGAACGCCCCUUCGGGGGAGUGGCAGACGGGUGAGUAACGCGUGGGAACCUUCCCUGUGGUACGGAAUAACUCAGAGAAAUUUGAGCUAAUACCGUAUACGCCCUUCGGGGGAAAGAUUUAUCGCCAUAGGAUGGGCCCGCGUCGGAUUAGCUUGUUGGUGAGGUAACGGCUCACCAAGGCGACGAUCCGUAGCUGGUCUUAGAGGAUGAUCAGCCACACUGGGACUGAGACACGGCC